rnacentral:rRNA from 1 species
AGCGCGAACGCUGGCGGCAUGGCUAAAACAUGCAAGUCGAACGCGAAAGGGGGCAACCCCGAGUAGAGUGGCGAAAGGGCGAGUAACACGUUUCUAACGUACCCCAGGGCCAGGGAUAGCUCCCCGAAAGGGGAAUUAAUACCUGAUAUCCCUGCGAGGCCGCAUGGUCUUGCAGGUAAAGGCUUGCCACCCUGGGAGCGGGGAACGUCCUAUCAGCUAGUUGGUGAGGUAACGGCUCACCAAGGCUUAGACGGGUAGCGGGUGUGAGAGCACGGCCCGCCGCAUCGGGACUGAGACACUGCCCGGACUCCUACGGGAGGCUGCAGUAACGAAUAUUCCGCAAUGGACGCAAGUCUGACGGAGCAAUGCCGCGUGCAGGAUGAACGCCCCGUCGGGGUGUAAACGUGCUGUCGAGGUCUAAGGAAAAAAA